UGUAUUUGUUUGGUUGUUUUUACUGAACAUUAUUGAUGUUUGCGCGUUACUGUUCACUUGCUUGUAUACUCUGUCAUUGGAGCGGAAAGUAUUUGCUUGUUUGCGGUAAAGUGGAUACGCUUGGUUCGCACUCUAGCAGUUAAACAUUACUUGCUCGCACACGGAGGCUUAAGCUUCGUUCACGGUAGAACGGAAGUAAU
rnacentral:lncRNA from 1 species